UACGUAGGGUGCAAGCGUUGUCCGGAAUUAUUGGGCGUAAAGAGCUCGUAGGCGGUCUGUCGCGUCGGCUGUGAAAACUCGGGGCUCAACCCCGAGCCUGCAGUCGAUACGGGCAGACUAGAGUGCGGUAGGGGAGACUGGAAUUCCUGGUGUAGCGGUGAAAUGCGCAGAUAUCAGGAGGAACACCGGUGGCGAAGGCGGGUCUCUGGGCCGUAACUGACGCUGAGGAGCGAAAGCGUGGGGAGCGAACAGG
rnacentral:rRNA from 1 species